ensembl:lncRNA
CCCAAGUCCUCAGCAGUCAAUGACACUGACCCGUUCAAACUGCUUCUUAACGCGUACUUCACGCGUAUUUAGCAGGACUUCACGUGUAUUUAACAGGUUAAAUACACGUAUUUAACGCGCUGAUUUUUCAGGCGUAAACGACACGUAUUUAAUGCGUUAAAUACGUGUUUACGCGUGAAAUACGCAUAUUUAACGUGUUGUUUACACAUUAAAAUUCGCGUGUUUUAGACCCUCUGGGCCUUCCAUACUUGGACGUUGAUAUGAGGUUCAAAAUUUGACCGUCCGGCUACAACGUGCAGAACAGGUUCAGGAAAUCGACAUAACUUUUUUUUUUAUAUAUAUAUAUAUACAUAUAAACACAACAAAGCAAUCCUUUGAUUUCCGAUUUAAAUAUCGCAUGUACCCUAUAAUCUUAAGAAACUUUUGGGUGUUAAAAUGAUGUAAUAUAUAAAUGUUUAAAAACAUUAAACAUUUAUAAUUACAUAAUGUGACCAUAUAAAAUCUUACAUGGAUUUAUUUAUGGUAUGGUUUGUGGUAUUUUUCACUGGAGCAUUGACAGAAACAGCAGUUUACAUCUGUAUUAGAUCUAUAAAUUAAAUAUAGUUAAUUAAAGUUAAAUAUAUUAAAGUUUAAUAAAUUUAAAUAGAUAAUUAGAUUAAAAUAUUUCCUUUUCAAUAAUAAAUAUUUAACACAUAGAUUUAAAUUGGAUGAAAUAGUGCAUUUAAACGUGCGCUCGCCACUAGGGGCGUUAACGUGAUGUUACGUGAGUGACGUAAACGUGAGGGCAAAAAAAAAAAAACGUAAACGUGAUGGCCUAUGGUGAUGGCGCAAACAAUCACGAAGACGGAAGAAUAAUUCUGUUUAUUACAAAAGACUGAAGAUAUAACUACAGCUAUUCUUUAAUUUAUUUAUUUCUACGUUGAGGACACUUUAUAAACCUACAGAGAUACCUGACCAACGAACGACCUUCACAACGGGACAGAGCUAACAUAACGUUAACGGUUACUUGGAAAUUCAAACAGUAACGGAUCUGACAACUGUGCUGAGCCAAAGUUGGUGAAGAUGGAGAUGUUGUGACGACCAGGACAGUUCCUCCUAGCACACCAGACUCUGCUGUAUGUGGACGCCUGUCCACUAGCACUGGACAUUUACAACAUUUGGUGCCAGGGACCUCUUGCAGAGAAGAUUUUUCAAGGACACCCUCAGAAUUACAACAGAUUUUAAGGCUUGAAAUUAUUGUGGGUGGGAGUAUAAUGAACAUAAUAUGAUUGUUUUAUUUAUUCAUUUAUUUUUUUAAAUGGUCCCCAUUUUUUUUAAUAAUACAUUUGUUUAAUGCACAAUAUAGGGCUAAGUUGCACCAGGUCAGGAAAAAACACAUAAGUUGCAUCUGUGUAUAAGACACAUUUUUCUAUUAAUUUCAGAAAUAAAUUAAAUACUGAUAAAUAAAACAAACGUUAAGAAACUUAAAAACUAUAAACACUGUAAAGAUUUUAUUUUCGCUCACUUCAAAUCAUUUAAAUUUAACGCUAUUCAAAACAGAACAAAAAUAAAAAAUAUUUAGGCCUAUGUAUAAAAUAAACAAAUUCUAGAGCCAUUAUUUACAAGCAGUAUUUCUUUUGUUAAAUAAAGAAAACAAACAAAAUGCACUUGCUAUCUCAGUUUCUGUGAACCUCAUGCUGAAAAUUUAGAAAACACAGUGGUACAGACAAUACCACUGUGUACAGACAGACUUGUCACACAGACAUGAGAACUAUAGAAACCUGUAAGUGCCUGCUUUUAAGUGUUUACGGUUUGCUUAGGCUUUUUGACAUUACAACCAUUAUAUAAAAGUUACUUUGGAAUAAUUCAGCACAUCUCAGAAGAUUAAAAAAUAUGACUUGUAGUCUGGAAAAUAUGGUAUAAAUUAUUUUGUGGACCCCUUUGCUUUGGUCCUGAACCCCAGAUUGAAAACCCUUGCAUUGUAGCAUAUUGUGUGUUUUUUUUCAUUAUUAUUAUUGUGCAUGCAGAUAAUAUUCGGGCACAUGAACACCUGACUAUUGCAUGAAUGAAGAAUACCAUCUUUAAGAAUUUUAUGCUAAUUGCAGUUGAAAUAAAAAUGAAAAAGCUUUAAAAGUUCAGCUCCAGCAGGUAAACAUAAUGUGUGGACCCAACUAAACUAAAUUGUUUGUUGUUAAUUGUUAUCCACUGUGUAAUGACUGAAAAUUAUUUUAUUUUCAUGUUUUUUGUGUGAACACACUGUUUCUUUAAGUUUAUUUACAAGUACAAAAAGAAAUUGCAUUGAAAUAAACAUGAGAUUUAAUUGAAUGCAGCCUAUAUGUCAUAAGGUCCUGGAACUGCAGUUGUUGCUAACGGCGCGAUAUGAGAAACACCUCCACAUGUGCCCAGCGGAGAUGUUGUGCGUUUAUGCAAAAUAUGCUGAAUUCCUUCCAAACGCCGUAGAAGGCCACUGCCUGCAUUACCCGCCGGGUGUUCUCCCCAGGGUUUGGACCUCCAACGAGGCUUAAAUGAUGUGUCUGCAAGAUGGAAUACAUUUUCUAAAUAGGAGAGGAGUUCAUUGAUGGUGCCACACACUUCAAGGCUCAUCUCCUCUGCUUGCUGGCAAGUCCCAUCACCCAGGGCACGAGCAUAAAGUUCAUGCAUGGCUGCUAUUGUGCUCCUCAUUGCCUUCAUCUCACUCUCUAUGCUUACUAUUUUUUGAAUGAGGAGGCUAAGGAGGUGAUCUGAGGAGAAUCAAUAUUGAUUCGUUAAAAUUAAGGACCUGGUUUAACCAGCAGUGGAGAGAGUCAUGAAGGAGAAUCACCAAAUAACACUGACAGCGAAGGGUGUCUCUGGGUGGAGUUGGCCUUAUUGGCACAUCAGGCAUGGGAAGCUCUCCACAUCUUGAUGGCAUCUUUAUUGAUUGAUUGAAGGUGGUUUGCUUGUUAGGUUCAUACCUUCAUAAGAGCUGCUGAGACACACCGGUCGUCUUUUCCUUUUGGGGGUGUCAUCACAGCUCUCAAGUGAAGAUUGCACAGCUGCUUUUUUCGACCACUUUUUUGCUCUUUCAUAGUCAUCUUAAGCAAAAAUAUGCCUCCUAGCAACCUGAAUCAGUGGGUUUCUACCAGAACGCACCAUCCUCUUGAGUGUUUGCAGGUAGUUUUCAAACAUGAAGGCACUACAAUUUUCCAGACCACCGAAGUUUUCGGCAUCUUUUGCUAUGUGCAGCAUGGCAUGUGUGUUGUAAACAAGGAACUCUUGUCCAUAAAGAAUCCGACCUUUUCCACAAAAUAAUGCAGCAGUUCAUCUGCAUAUUUCGAGUGUUCCUGCACAAGACUUGGACAUACCAAGAUUAUCAUGGCCACGCUAAAGGAAAGGAAGUGCAAAUACAUUUCAUCAGGCAGUAUUCCCUUCAACACAAUCUUCCCAGUGUAAAGAAGGAACUGACGAAACUCAGUCGCUUUCCACCUGUCCAGUUCCUCAAGACCUCUAGGCUUUCGCACAAAAGUAGAUGGGAUGCAUUUCCGAAGAGACCGCAGUCUUGCACUAAUCUCUGUGAUUUGGCUGGCUGAAACACUCACAACUCUGUCUCCUCUGGUCCAGAUGUGCAGGAGUCUUUUCAUUACACCUAGACAAGCCUGGUGCAUGUAAUCAAUGGGAAAACUCUGCACCAUGUCUAUGGGGAGGUGAGACAGAGUGAAUCCCAUGAUUCAUCAGAUGAGCCAGUUCCCUUACUGUGUCUUCCAAAAAGCCAAGAUCUGUUGGUCGACUUAGACUGCUUGUCAGAGCCGUGGGGAAAAUGGUGACAGGGUCUAACAUGACUGCACAAAGAACUGGCCACAUACAUGUUUUGGAACUCUUGUACAGUGGUGGCAGUACCAACGAUGUUUCGUCCAGCAUUAAAUUACUGCAGAAGAAGAAUACCGCCAACGUGACGCGGAUAUUAUAUCUUAAUGGAGGAAUAAACCUGAAACAGCACUUCCAAGAACUUCUUGAUUGUCGUUUAUGGAUUCCUCAUGAAAUUUGGGAUUGUCGGUUUGGAUGGACCAGGAGUUGGUGUCACUGGAAAAACUCUCAUGGUGGCCCGCUGAUGACUGAGGAUAGAUGUGCCUUGCUGCUUUUCGAAAAGGACUUCUGUCCUGAUGUUUGGCUGUGGUCCCCCCAUCAUCCACUCUUUGGCAACAAGUCUUUGUAUGCAGACCACCAUGAUCUAAUCUAUACAGACCUAGUUGUCUCUUCUCCCACAAACUCCACUUUCAGGAGUACCUUUUACAAAGGUGUCACCAUGAGCUCCCGACCUCCUGACCUCUCCGUGGCUGAGCUGUAUUAGGACUUUGUCAGAACUACAUCUUUUUUGGUCACCACAAUCUGGAUGUGUUCAGUGAGGAUUCAUCGGUGGAUUUCACCUUUGGAAAAGUUUAGGCUGGGAGUGUGUUGUCAUACCAGCAGAAACAAGCUGCAUCAUUACUCACAUCAAGAUGUCCCAUCACCACCACAUCUACCACUUAUUGGUUACAGCCUUGGCACAUCUGUCUGCUUGUUUGUCCAUAGUGAACAUAGUUUUUUAUUUGUAUGUAACCAACACACUUGUACAGGAAAUCUUUAACACCUAAUUAAAGUACUUAUACAUGUUUACACGUUUACAUUAUUAUAGUGCAGGUAACAAAAUAAUUAAAUUUACAUUAUCUACAUUUAUAAAUAAAUGUAUCCAUUUACAAUUUCUAUACUAAAUAUUAUUUUAAUUAAUAUAUUCAGGUGUUCUGUUGUAUUUUUGUAAAGAUUGUGAGUAGCCAAGGGUAUAAAGGGAAUAAAAAAGUGGCGGGACUGUACAAAUCCCAGUAAUCCCAAUCCCAAAUUAAAUGAUUUGUUUCUAUUUCUGGCAUAGUCCAAUUUUUAGUAUAGUUCCAUAGUCCCAUAGGCAUAGUCCCAUAUUUCAAUUUAAAAUAACUGUUUUCUAUGUGAAUAUAUUUUAAAUAUUAUAGCAGUCUAAUAAUAAAAUAAAAGUAGUCUUAAUAAUAAAAAUCAGAAACACUUAUAAUAAAAACGGGAGAGAGAGAGUUAUCUGAGACCAGGGGACCACGUCGCUACAACGUUCCCCAUGGGACCAACUAGCGACGUCUGUUGAGGACAUGCCCACAACGUUUCUGGGACGUUUGCAAACAUUCUAAAAAAAAAAAGUUUAUUUCUUAUAUGGGUAGAUAGAUGUUUGAGUAUUUCGUUACGGGUUUAAAAUGACAAUAGUAUUUAUAAUGUUUACAGUAUACAUUUUGUCAUUUGGAUGUUAUCUUUGUUAUCACUGAUGGACACUUUAGCUAAAGGUAACUUUACCCUUAAAAUUUGCUUUUCACUAAUUCUAUAGUGACUGCAGAAAAAUAGAUAAACAUACAUCCAUAAAUAGCUGUACUAAAGACCAGGGGACCACGUCGCUACAACGUCCUCCAUGGAACUAACUAGCGACGUCUUUUGAGGACGUGCCCACGACGUUUCUGAGACGUUAGCCAAGAUUCUAAAAAAUGGAACUUUACCUCGACGUCCUCACAACGUCGCCAUAAAGUAAUGUCGCGCUAACCAAAUGACGACGAACUGGCGACGUCCUCACAACGUUCUGUGUUUGCUGGGAAGUGCGCUGCGCGCAUAUCAGAAACCAUCUUAACUUGCGUAUUUGCAACUUGCGUAUUUGCCUAAAUGAAUUCUGCCCCACUGCUUAAUGUCUCUGAUCAGUUAAAUUAGUUUUUAAACCACAAUGCUUAAAAUGCGUUUAAAUUAAAAGCUUAUAUCCAUGACGUGCUUAUAUCAUUUACAGCGAUAUCGUUGACUUGAUUGAAAAUUAUUGCAGAGAUACUAUUUAAACUGAACUGAGCUGCAUGAUGACAUCACUGAAUUCAAUGAUGAACUGCC